UACGUAGGGUGCAAGCGUUGUCCGGAAUCAUUGGGCGUAAAGCGCGCGUAGGUGGUCAUGUAAGUCCGCUGUGAAAGUCAAAGGCUCAACCUUUGAAAGCCGGUGGAUACUGCAUGACUAGAGUACGGAAGAGGCGAGUGGAAUUCCUGGUGUAGCGGUGGAAUGCGCAGAUAUCAGGAGGAACACCAAUAGCGAAGGCGGCUCGCUGGGCCAUUCCUGACGCUGAGACGCGAAAGCUAGGGGAGCGAACAGG
rnacentral:rRNA from 1 species